AAUCAUUUAUGCUUGCAUAAAUGAUUUUUGGAUUCGGAGCGAGUGGCGAACUGGUGAGUAACACGUGGGUAACCUGCCCCGAAGCGGGGGAUAACAUUUGGAAACAAAUGCUAAUACCGCAUAAUUAGUCAGAACCGCAUGGUUCCGACUUAAAAGAUGGCUCUGCUAUCACUUCGGGAUGGACCCGCGCCGUAUUAGUUAGUUGGUGAGAUAAAAGCCCACCAAGACGAUGAUACGUAGCCGACCUGAGAGGGUAAUCGGCCACAUUGGGACUGAGACACGGCCCAGACUCCUACGGGAGGCAGCAGUAGGGAAUCUUCCACAAUGGACGAAAGUCUGAUGGAGCAACGCCGCGUGAGUGAUGAAGGGUUUCGGCUCGUAAAACUCUGUUGUUAAAGAAGAACAAGCAUGAGAGUAACUGUUCAUGCUUUGACGGUAUUUAACCAGAAAGCCACGGCUAACUACGUGCCAGCAGCCGCGGUAAUACGUAGGUGGCAAGCGUUGUCCGGAUUUAUUGGGCGUAAAGCGAGCGCAGGCGGUUUUGUAAGUCUGCUGUGAAAGCCCUCAGCUCAACUGAGGAAGUGCAGUGGAAACUACAAAACUUGAGUACAGAAGAGGAAAGUGGAACUCCAUGUGUAGCGGUGAAAUGCGUAGAUAUAUGGAAGAACACCAGUGGCGAAGGCGGCUUUCUGGUCUGUUACUGACGCUGAGGCUCGAAAGCAUGGGUAGCGAACAGGAUUAGAUACCCUGGUAGUCCAUGCCGUAAACGAUGAAUACUAGGUGUUGGAGGGUUUCCGCCCUUCAGUGCCGCAGCUAACGCAUUAAGUAUUCCGCCUGGGGAGUACGACCGCAAGGUUGAAACUCAAAGGAAUUGACGGGGGCCCGCACAAGUGGUGGAGCAUGUGGUUUAAUUCGAUGCUACGCGAAGAACCUUACCGGCUCUUGACAUCUUCUGCCAACCUAAGAGAUUAGGCGUUCCCUUCGGGGACAGAAUGACAGGUGGUGCAUGGUUGUCGUCAGCUCGUGUCGUGAGAUGUUGGGUUAAGUCCCGCAACGAGCGCAACCCUUAUUAUUAGUUGCCAGCAUUUAGUUGGGCACUCUAGUGAGACUGCCGGUGAUAAA
rnacentral:rRNA from 1 species